rnacentral:rRNA from 1 species
ACUUAAAUUGAAGAGUUUGAUCAUGGCUCAGAUUGAACGCUGGCGGCAGGCCUAACACAUGCAAGUCGAGCGGUAGCACAGAGAGCUUGCUCUCGGGUGACGAGCGGCGGACGGGUGAGUAAUGUCUGGGAAACUGCCUGAUGGAGGGGGAUAACUACUGGAAACGGUAGCUAAUACCGCAUAAUGUCGCAAGACCAAAGUGGGGGACCUUCGGGCCUCAUGCCAUCAGAUGUGCCCAGAUGGGAUUAGCUAGUAGGUGGGGUAAUGGCUCACCUAGGCGACGAUCCCUAGCUGGUCUGAGAGGAUGACCAGCCACACUGGAACUGAGACACGGUCCAGACUCCUACGGGAGGCAGCAGUGGGGAAUAUUGCACAAUGGGCGCAAGCCUGAUGCAGCCAUGCCGCGUGUGUGAAGAAGGCCUUCGGGUUGUAAAGCACUUUCAGCGGGGAGGAAGGCGGUGAGGUUAAUAACCUCAUCGAUUGACGUUACCCGCAGAAGAAGCACCGGCUAACUCCGUGCCAGCAGCCGCGGUAAUACGGAGGGUGCAAGCGUUAAUCGGAAUUACUGGGCGUAAAGCGCACGCAGGCGGUCUGUCAAGUCGGAUGUGAAAUCCCCGGGCUCAACCUGGGAACUGCAUUCGAAACUGGCAGGCUAGAGUCUUGUAGAGGGGGGUAGAAUUCCAGGUGUAGCGGUGAAAUGCGUAGAGAUCUGGAGGAAUACCGGUGGCGAAGGCGGCCCCCUGGACAAAGACUGACGCUCAGGUGCGAAAGCGUGGGGAGCAAACAGGAUUAGAUCCCCUGGUAGUCCACGCCGUAAACGAUGUCGAUUUGGAGGUUGUGCCCUUGAGGCGUGGCUUCCGGAGCUAACGCGUUAAAUCGACCGCCUGGGGAGUACGGCCGCAAGGUUAAAACUCAAAUGAAUUGACGGGGGCCCGCACAAGCGGUGGAGCAUGUGGUUUAAUUCGAUGCAACGCGAAGAACCUUACCUGGUCUUGACAUCCACAGAACUUUCCAGAGAUGGAUUGGUGCCUUCGGGAACUGUGAGACAGGUGCUGCAUGGCUGUCGUCAGCUCGUGUUGUGAAAUGUUGGGUUAAGUCCCGCAACGAGCGCAACCCUUAUCCUUUGUUGCCAGCGGUCCGGCCGGGAACUCAAAGGAGACUGCCAGUGAUAAACUGGAGGAAGGUGGGGAUGACGUCAAGUCAUCAUGGCCCUUACGACCAGGGCUACACACGUGCUACAAUGGCAUAUACAAAGAGAAGCGACCUCGCGAGAGCAAGCGGACCUCAUAAAGUAUGUCGUAGUCCGGAUUGGAGUCUGCAACUCGACUCCAUGAAGUCGGAAUCGCUAGUAAUCGUAGAUCAGAAUGCUACGGUGAAUACGUUCCCGGGCCUUGUACACACCGCCCGUCACACCAUGGGAGUGGGUUGCAAAAGAAGUAGGUAGCUUAACCUUCGGGAGGGCGCUUACCACUUUGUGAUUCAUGACUGGGGUGAAGUCGUAACAAGGUAACCGUAGGGGAACCUGCGGUUGGAUCACCUCCUUACCUUAAAGAA